rnacentral:lncRNA from 10 species
UGUUUUCCUAUCUGUAAAAAUGGGAAUAAUGCCAACUUUAUUGUGUUUUGGUGAUCAUUAAAGGAGAUAACCCAAGUAAAGUUUUUAGUAUACCUGACAUUUGUUAAGUGCUCCAUAAAUGUUGUCAUUAAGGAAAUUAUUUAGCAGGAAUAAACUUCAGGCCAAUUUCUAGUCACUUAGUUCACUCUAAAGUAAGAAAAUCAGAAGUUGCAGACUUCAGCUUUGUCUAAUGGUUGGCUCUCUGCCUUCAGCUGUGUCUGUUUGGCCGGGACAGCUCUGUUGUUUAGGAUUCCUUUGGUGAUUUUAGUUUGGGGGGGGGGCGGUUAAAAAAGUGUCUUGUAUAGUUUGAUUGGCAGAUUAUCCCUUGAGAUUCGUAGUGAUACUUUGAAGUAAUAGUGCUUUUACAUGCAUAUAACACAGGUGCUCAUUAGUAUUUUUUCAGUAGCCUUUGUAGGGGUAAUGGAAGUGGCAGUGGAAUAAUUCAGAAAUAGUGAAGGGAAGAAAAUCAAGAGCUUGGAUUAUUCCCAGACUGGGGAAUCAGCCCAUCUUUGUAAAGAAGAGAUUGACAGAAAUUGUUGGUUGGCCCUGUAGAGUUAUUCUCAGUUGGCACUGGGGUAAAGAUCAUGAGACACUAGAAUGGCAAGAGGGAGAGGCAAGGGUGAAGGGAUGGUUGGUGGUGAAAUUUCAUUAGUCUCUAGCAUGUGCAGGAGGGAACAGACUUAACAAGAAACCAUUAGCAUUUGAGGAUAUAACUAGGAAUUUUCACUGCCUGUGGUAAUGCCCAAUUAAUAGUUCCCUGUUUCCUGGAAGACUUCCUAUGGUAAUUUACAGAUGGGGAUACAGUUGCCAAAGCUCUGGGAAAUUGUGUUUGGGUGUGAAAAAU